rnacentral:lncRNA from 1 species
GCAGGAUCAACCGUUCAUCGCAUGAACGUUGUUCAAAAACCGUUCGUAGAUAGAUAAGGAUUAAAAACUUUUUAAAACAUUAGAAGAUCAGAUCUUCACCUUGUGCGGGUAGAUGAUCACCGCAAACUGAUGAUCGUGGUUUUGGAUGAGGGUUCGCUUGAAGCCGUUCAAGUGCCCGGCCUCUAUAGGUAUCCACACGAAGCAGAGGACCAAUCCAAGUGCUCCAAUCUCUCCGGGGUGCUAGCUCCCUUGCAGAGAUUACUUUGAUGGCUGAUCACCUCCCUUUCAAUCAACCCUUGAAUGCUAGAGGGAGGAGGAAGAAGAUGAAAGGAUCAAGGAAGAAGUCCAAAAAGCUAGAUGCAGCCUUUCCUUUCCUUGCGUUGAAUCCCAAACGGAGGAGGAAGAAGGAGACCACCAUGGAUCUUUUUCCUUCUUGCUUGCGGCUGAUCCAAGAGGAGAGGAG